CAGGUCCAUCCUGACCCUCUCCUCAGCCCCGGUGAGGAGUGCUGCGUCCUGUUCUGGGCUCCUCAGGACAGGAGAGACAGGGAGCUCCUGGAGCAGAUGCAGCAGAGGACUACAGAGAUGAUGAAGGGAUUGGAGCAUCCACUUCUGAGGAGAGGCUGAGGGACCUGGGCCUGUUCAGCCUCGAGAAGAGACGACUGAGAGGGGACACCAUCAAUGUGAAUGAAUAUCUAAAGGAUGGGUGUGAAGAGGAUUCAGACGGGCUCUUCUCGGUGGUGCCAAGCAGUAGGACAAGAGGCAAUGGGCAGAUACGGAUGCACAGGAAAUUCCACCUGGAUGUGAGGAAGAACUUCGUCACUGUGCAGGUCACUGAGCACUGAAGCAGAUUGCCCUGAGAGGCUGUGGAGUCUCCCUCACUGGAGAUGCUCAAGAGCCAUCCCGACACAACCCUGUGCCAGGUGCUCUGUGAUGACCCUGCUUGAGCAGGGAGUUUGGGCCAGAUGAGCCCCUGUGGUCCCUGCCAGACCCUGUGAAUGUGUGGGGUCCCUGUGUGUGCACCAGGCCCUCACAGAGGCUGUGGUUCCCCACCUUGGAGCUGUGCGGUUCUGCACUGCUGUGCUGCCACCUGUGGCUCUCGCUGCUGUGUGCACAGUGCCCAUGGAGACUGCAGCUUCCCAAGCAGGGCAGCACACUCCUCAGGAGCACCACGUGUCCCCUGCAGCUCACUGUCCCUCUCCCCACUGUACCUCUUCGAGCUUCUGUCCCAGCCCUUCCCACCUGGUGCCACUUGUGCCAUGGUGCCCGGCACCACACCCCAUGGCCCACCUCGAGUAUCUGGUGAGAUCCUAUCUGUGUCCAGCUCAAAAAAGACCUGGACCUGUCGGAGCAAGUCCAGAGUAGGACCACGAAGAUGCUUAGAGGGAUGAAACACCUCUUGUACGAGAUAAUUUUUAUUAUUCAGUGUAGAUAAGAGAAGGCUUCAGGGUGACCUACUAGAAAGGUGGAGAGGGACUUUUCACAACAGCAUGUAGUGACAGGACAAAGGGGAAUGGCCUAAAACUGAGACGGUUAAAAUUAGAUAUUAGGAGGAAGUUAUUUGCUAUGAGGGUGGUGCAAUACUGGCACAGAUUGCUCAGGGAAGUUGUGGAUGCCCCAUCCCUGGGAACGUUCAGUGCCAAGCAGGAUGGAGCUCUGAGCAAAACUUGGUCUAGUGAAAGGUGUCCCUGCCCGUGACAGGACUAGAUGACCUUUAAGAUCCCUUCCAACUCCAACCACCCGACGAUUCUAUGAUUCCCGACUCGUGCUCUUCGCAGCGGUUCCAAAGGCGCUCUCCCCCACAGAGCAGGAGCCACCCUGCUGCGCACCCGCCCAAACACAGGGCUGUGCGAUGGCCUCACCACAGCUACCGAUCAGCCCGCGUGUUUCCACGAGCGGACAGGGCAGCGCUUGGACAGGAGCCGGCGCUGCCCGGGGGCCCAGGCGCACACACGGGCGGGCUCCGCCCCACAGCAGCCCCCCGCCCUCCCGCCAGAGCAGCCGAGAGGAGCCGGCGCUGCCGGGGGCCCAGGCACACACACCGGCGGGCUCCGCCCCACAGCAGCCCCCCGGGGGGGGGGGGGGGGGGGGGGGGGGGGGGGGGGGGGGGGGGGGGGGGGGGGGGGGGGGGGGGGGGGGGGG
rnacentral:lncRNA from 12 species